GGCCUACGGGAGGCUGCAGUGGGGAAUAUUGGACAAUGGGCGAAAGCCUGAUCCAGCAAUGCCGCGUGAGUGAUGAAGGCCUUAGGGUUGUAAAGCUCUUUUACCAGGGAUGAUAAUGACAGUACCUGGAGAAUAAGCUCCGGCUAACUCCGUGCCAGCAGCCGCGGUAAUACGGAGGGAGCUAGCGUUGUUCGGAAUUACUGGGCGUAAAGCGCGCGUAGGCGGCCUAGCAAGUCAGGGGUGAAAUCCCGGGGCUCAACCCCGGAACUGCCUUUGAAACUGCUAAGCUAGAAUCCUGGAGAGGCGAGUGGAAUUCCGAGUGUAGAGGUGAAAUUCGUAGAUAUUCGGAAGAACACCAGUGGCGAAGGCGACUCGCUGGACAGGUAUUGACGCUGAGGUGCGAAAGCGUGGGGAGCAAACAGGAUUAGAUACCCCUGUAGUCACU
rnacentral:rRNA from 1 species